UGGGGAAUAUUGCACAAUGGGCGAAAGCCUGAUGCAGCAACGCCGCGUGAAGGAAGAAGGUCUUCGGAUCGUAAACUUCUGUCCUUGGGGAAGAUAAUGACGGUACCCUUGGAGGAAGCCCCGGCUAACUACGUGCCAGCAGCCGCGGUAAUACGUAGGGGGCAAGCGUUAUCCGGAAUUAUUGGGCGUAAAGAGUGCGUAGGUGGUUACCUAAGCAGGGGGUGAAAGGCACUGGCUUAACCAAUGUCAGCCCCCUGAACUGGGUACCUUGAGUGCAGGAGAGGAAAGCGGAAUUCCUAGUGUAGCGGUGAAAUGCGUAGAUAUUAGGAGGAACACCAGUGGCGAAGGCGGCUUUCUGGACUGUUACUGACACUGAGGCACGAAAGUGUGGGGAGCAAACA
rnacentral:rRNA from 1 species